rfam:Takifugu rubripes genomic scaffold, scaffold_4887
CCAAAGGCUCUUCUAAGAGCCACCACAUCUUUCUUCAGAGUAAAGG